AACGUCCUGAAAUCGGGCCCAACCGUGAAGGGCCCAGUGGAGGUACCUUCUCAACCUAUUAUACCAUGCAUAAAACAUUCAGUAGUUUUUCUAUGAUAAAGUUUUGAUGGUCUUCUUGGUCUUCAUUAAUGAACGUUUGGGUUGUCCACAUGCAAAGAAAGAUAAGGACAUUGAAGGAAUCCAAUAAAACCAUUAGCUUCAAUGAACCGUUCACAAGAAACGAGAACCAUCGUGACAUACCUAUGUGCCAAUUCUGUCUAUUACAAAGGAGUCACUGCCCGCCGUCUUGGACGCAGCAAUCGCCAGUUUGCCCUUCAAUCGGGAAGCCGUCAGGGAGAAACUCUGCAACUCCAUAUGAGCUGGAAGGAAUACCGUGACAGAGUUGUCGAUUACGGUCACAUUAAGGUGUUUGCCAUGGCUUCAGUGCAAGAGACUAAACAAUCGUAGAGCGCAGAAGACGACUUCCAGCUGGAGAAACCCAAGUUGGAUAUUCAGGUAACUACAGUAGGCCAAAAUAUUAUUUGUUUCGGGAAGCAAAUAAUUUCAAUGCUAAAAAUAACCUCCGUUUACCACGUGCGAGAAAAUCCCCAGAUAGGCCAUGAAUGCUUCACUACUUUCUCGUUCAUGAAUCCAGUGCCAGUUACCCUGACGGAGUGUGAAUUUAUAUUUGAAGGAUCGGGUCUGGUUCGUGCCCAAACAGCCAAAUACCAUGACGUUAAGCCGGAAGAGAUGAUCAGCUUCUUUCAAAAGUUCCUUCCCCGAUUAGGGAUGAGCGUAAACUGGUUGCAACUUUCAACUUUCGAGAACUGGGUGAUAUUGUUGGCUCUCGUCCAAUUCAUGUCCGUGAGGAACCGACGUUUCCUACAAUUGAAUUACGAAAUCCCUACGACAUAACAUUUUGCACCUAAACUUGGACUGCCCAUAAAACAUCUUAUCAAAUUAGUAAAAAUGACUUAAGUAAUGUUUCACGAUAUGCAUACUGAUAUACCAUUUAAAUCUCUGUCAUUAUCUUAAAGGCCAUUUAAACCCUCUAUAUUCUUCCUUUUUUUCCACUGUGUGGUUCAGGUUUUUGAAAUUGUUGCUAUUCUUACUUUUCGGUAACGGAGUAUUCAGCAGGAAUAAAUUUCACCAAUCAGA
rnacentral:lncRNA from 1 species